rnacentral:pre_miRNA from 2 species
UCUUACGGAUGAACAAAUAAAGUAGUUUCUGGAGAUAAAAUCUACUCCUGGUGAAAAUGCUGUGAA